AGUGAACGCUGGCGGCAGGCCUAACACAUGCAAGUCGAACGGCAGCACAGAGGAGCUUGCUCCUUGGGUGGCGAGUGGCGGACGGGUGAGGAAUACGUCGGAAUCUGCCUAUUUGUGGGGGAUAACGUAGGGAAACUUACGCUAAUACCGCAUACGACCUACGGGUGAAAGUGGGGGACCUUCGGGCCUCACGCAGAUAGAUGAGCCGACGUCGGAUUAGCUAGUUGGCGGGGUAAAGGCCCACCAAGGCGACGAUCCGUAGCUGGUCUGAGAGGAUGAUCAGCCACACUGGAACUGAGACACGGUCCAGACUCCUACGGGAGGCAGCAGUGGGGAAUAUUGGACAAUGGGCGCAAGCCUGAUCCAGCCAUGCCGCGUGUGUGAAGAAGGCCUUCGGGUUGUAAAGCACUUUUGUCCGGAAAGAAAAGCUUAGGGUUAAUAACCUUGAGUCAUGACGGUACCGGAAGAAUAAGCACCGGCUAACUUCGUGCCAGCAGCCGCGGUAAUACGAAGGGUGCAAGCGUUACUCGGAAUUACUGGGCGUAAAGCGUGCGUAGGUGGUUUGUUAAGUCUGAUGUGAAAGCCCUGGGCUCAACCUGGGAAUGGCAUUGGAAACCGGCUUACUAGAGUGCGGUAGAGGGGUGUGGAAUUCCCGGU
rnacentral:rRNA from 1 species